GUCAUGGGGCAUCCUUUGUCCCUGGGCCUAGAAGAGCCUGGAGCCUCAGAGACACCCGAGAUGCUUCCUGUGGGCCCAGUUUGUCCUCCUCCAUGGAGGGGACAGAAGGUGGUGGAGCCUCAGAACCCAGCUGGGCAAGAAAUGGACACUCAUCGCUGCAGGAGCAGGUCAGGCCCCCUGCUGUGCCCUGCGGGGGACCGGGCUCAUUCAUUCAUUUCGCUCUUUUCCGGCUCUCAGCAAGCCCACAACUCUCUCCUGGCUUUCAUUUUCAUCCAUUUAAAUUGAAAAAAAAUAAAAAACAAAUGAAACCCACUUAAGAGAAUGCCUUGAGGGGUUAGCAGA